UGAAACACGGACCAAGGAGUUUAGCGUAUGCGCGAGUCAUUGGGUGCACAAACCUAGAGGCGCAAUGAAAGUAAAGGCUCGGUCGCCGGGCUGACAUGCGAGUGCCGCGGCUUCGGCCCAGGCAUGCAGCAUGGUCCCGUUGCAGCCGCUUGCGGCGCAGCGGAGACAGAGCGUAUGCGCUGAGACCCGAAAGAUGGUGAACUAUUCCUGAGCAGGACGAAGCCAGAGGAAACUCUGGUGGAAGUCCGAAGCGAUUCUGACGUGCAAAUCGAUCGUCUGACUUGGGUAUAGGGGCGAAAGACUAAUCGAACCAUCUAGUAGCUGGUUCCCUCCGAAGUUUCCCCCAGGAUAGCUGGAGCGUGUGCAUACACAGUUACACUCGGUAAAGCGAACGAUUAGAGGACUUGGGGACGAAAUGUCCUUAACCUAUUCUCAAACUCUAAAUGGGUGUGAAGCAGGCGUUGCUUGACUCUGAACGCCAGCGUUGAAUGUGCGCUCCAAGUGGGCCAUUUUUGGUAAGCA
rnacentral:rRNA from 1 species